GAACAGCGGAUUUCUCUGCACGAUGCUUUGUGAAAAAUAAAUCAUAAAGUAAAAUGGACAUACUCGGCACACCUGGAAAAUACAGACUGCUGCUCAACUUGGCCACAGCAUUUAGGAAAGUGGCUUAUGUACCAGAUUAAUGUGACUAAAGUUUCCAAGUUCAUAAA